AUUGAACGCUGGCGGCAGGCUUAACACAUGCAAGUCGAACGAGUGGCGGACGGGUGAGUAAUGCUUGGGAAUCUACCUGAUAGAGGGGGAUAACUACGGGAAACGGUAGCUAAUACCGCAUACCAUCGGAGGAACCCAAGUGGGAUUAGGUAGUUGGUGAGGUAAAGGCUCACCAACCGACGUUCUCUAGUUGGUCUGAGAGGAUGACCAGCCACAGUGGGACUGAGACACGGCCCAGACUCCGACAGAAGGAAGCAGUGGGGAAUAUUGCGCAAUGGAGGCAACCCUGACGCAGCCGUGCCGCGUGAAUGAAGAAGGCCUUCGGGUUGUAAAGUGCUUUCGGUAGCGAGGCGUUAGCGACAGAAGAAGCACCGGCUAACGCCGUGCCAGCAGCCGCGGUAAUUC
rnacentral:rRNA from 1 species